ACAUGGGGAAUGGGGGUGAGAAAGCCUCAUGGCACCUUCCCACAUUCCUCACCUGGUCUUCCAUUUCAGAUCUAGACAUUGUCCUCUCUGACAUAGAAAUGUCCUGGUUUGAGGUUGGAAACUCAUGUUUUCAAAUCCAUGACGUAGGUUUUGGCAGCAGGAGCAUCAGACACAGCAACAACUGCAACAGGAAGUUAGAGAGUCCCAGGGCCCGGGCCCUCACGGACACAGCAAGACUUUGUGUUCAGACUGCCCAGCCACCAACACGGAAGGACCUUGGUGCACAGUUGACUGUGACUUGAGCCUGGGAUGUCCCCAUCAGGGAUGCCUCAUGAUGCUUGACUGCUCUGCUGUUUCUGGUGACAUCCACAAAGAAGACAGUGACAGCAGGUCAGAGCAGAGAGGAUUUGUGACGCAUCCUACCUGCAUCACUCAGGGCCUUCUUUUCAGAGUAGAAAGUAAAAUCCUGGAGUGAGAUGGGUCUCCUCAAGGUGACUGAGGAUCUGGUUGGAACAGAAAACAGCAUCAGGGGCUGAGGGAUCACCCAGGUCCAGGAGGGCUGCCUGGUGACAUUUUACCUGGAAUGAUCACUGGCUCUGAAACUCCUACAGGUAUAUGUGAAGUAUGGUGGGGUCCCACAGAAGGAACAUGGCCUCUUAAUGCUGGGGGUCCAAAACAGUUACCCUCUCAGAAUGACGUCGGGCUCUUAUCCCACUAUUCUGUCCCCUCGCCUGCCUUUUCCAUCACCAGCAAAAGAGUAGCACAUACUACAGUUCUUUGGCCCUGUUGGAACUGCCAACACUCCCAGGGCCUGAGAGCCAGGAGAGAUUCCAGAACACCGUUUCAUCAAAAGUUCAAUUGCAAGAAAUUUGUUUUCAGUGCCCAUAAACACUUCACUGUGACAGAGAGACAUGAGAUGCGGCCAUCCAGGCUGGAGCAUGACACAUGGCUUCUCUCAAGGUGUCUGUCUCAUCCAAUCUAUCCUCCGGGGCUCUGCCCAGCUUUGACCUUCACACAAGACAGUCUCCUCGAACUCCCUGUACUUCCAUGCACCUUCUGAGGUCCGUGAUUCUGUUUACCUGUUUACAUGUGGACUUACCUCAGCACCUUUGUCUUCCUGGUUGUCCUGGACUCUGCCAGAGUGCCAGAUCCCUGUUGUCGGCGUGGCCACCAGAUCACUGAUCCUGGGAUCCAGCCCCUACUGAGGGCCUGGCACAUGGCUGUGUCCAUCGAGUGUCAACUGACAAAAGAACAGCUCAGAUCAUUGCACAAAGGCAGCCCAGAAGCUGGGCUCAAACCCCAGACCCAGUCUUCUCUCUCAUUCCAUGUAGGUAAAAUGGCGUCGGGGCUGUGGAGGAAGAACCGCUCCCAUGGUACUACAGGGGGACUGGAGCAGGCACAUGCCAGGAAGUGAGGAACCGGCUGCAUGGCUAGAGCUGUAAGCCUAGCUCUGUCAGACAGCCCACACCUGGAACACAAUCCCAAGAGAUGCAGUGACACAGUUCAUAGGGCCAACCUCUGACACAUCUGGAGAGACCCUCCUCCAGGUUCUUCCCAUCUAGAAGACUCAGAAUGAAGGCUGAAGGAGAUUCUGGGAGAAAUUGUUUCCUUCUCUGUGACAGAGCUUCAGGACAAGGACACCAGUACAGAAAGCAGGGCUUGAAGACACACUCACUGAUUCCUGCCUGAUCAUCAGAUGCUUUGGAUGGCUAUCCCAGUAUCCUCUGCUCUUGAGAAUGGAGUUAGUUCCCUGUAGAGACUCCUGUGGCACUGCAAUCACAAUGACUUCUUGGGUUGCCAGUUGACCCAUGGAAUGGACAUGCAGCAGGAGAUACUAAGCAUCCAGACUUUCAUCUGCAGAUACUUGUGACAAGACCUGGCCUAUGACCCACACUGUGCUAUCAGAAUACAGGUCAGAGCUCAUUACUUCUUGUCUGUCCAUCUGAACUGCAGGGAAAUCUCCAGGAGACCCCUUAAAGCCUUGACCAUUGUCCCUCUGCCAGGCACCAGAUCAUCACAUUAGAUUCCAUCUGGACAUUUGUUCCCUAUGCACAAUGGCCUCACAUCCCGUCUCCAUCCCUUGCUUAGGUAAGAGAAUUGAUCUUGUUUUUCCAGUCACAUCUUGUUCUAGUCAGGCAUGACCCUCAGCAACAAGGAACCACCUGCCUUUGUAGUCAGAGACCCCAUAAUUGAGAACACAAUGCCCAGGAAAUACAAGGACCUAGGUCACAUGGCUGCCAUGAAAAAAUCAGUAGAGUCCCCACCUCCAGGCUCCUCAGAUGUCAAAGCCUGAGGAUUGGAAAGCUGAUGGAUGUUCUGGAAGCAACCACUGCCCUUUGAGGGCAUUCUCCUGGAAUGCCACAGUGGAGAGUCCUGUGAUAUUGCAGACUUCUCCUCUAGACUGGGUACCCAGGGUAUGCAGGAACUGGGACCCAGCUCAGCCUCCCACAGUUGACUUCUUCAAUGUGACAUCAGGCCUCACAGGACUUGACACACUCUUCCUGUCCAGUUGAUCUGUAGAGAGACAUUGAAAUGGUCCCUUGGGCUUUGACCAUAGUCACUCUGCCAGGCCCUAGAUCUCCAAGCAGAGUCUGGUAUAUGAACAUCUGUUCCCUGUGGACAACAGUUCCACAUCACAACACCCCCCACCCUCCCCACUCCAAUCACAGUCUUUUGUUGUCUACUGUUAGUUGAGUUACAUCGGACACCACCUGAGUAUGUUCUAGCAGGAUUUCUUCCUGAGGAGGUAUGCUAAGUAGCAGAGUUUAAUCCAGCUGGUGCAGAAAUACAUCUGAACACCCCUUUGGUCCCCACAAAACAAGCAUACACAUUUCUGAUUUUUCAGAUGAAAAGGCAGAGGAAAUAAAAUGCAAAGCACAUAUGUACCCUCUCAUACCUGCGUGCACAAUUCCUUGGGCUUUUCAUUCUGUCUCUUUCAGGGGAAUCACUUUGUUGUUGAACAUGGGCUGGACUUGUGUCUUUCGAUCCCCAGAGAAGCAGCAUAAUCUUGAGAAGCAGGCCCUGAUUCUCUUGCGCAGUCUCUGGAAGCACCCGAUGUUCUGAGGGUUCAGUGCAUUUUCCGUGUCAGAGUCAGUCCCAGGGGACGGGAGGGUUUCGUCUUCUGAUAUGCUGCUGCAGACACUUGGAGAAGUCUCGCCUCUGGAUAGGGUGGCAGAGCUAAUAGUGGGGCUCUUCUUCUGGGGACAACGUACAGGCAUGGAGACACUUCUGGCCACCUUCUGCCCUGGUGCUGUUGGCACAACAGGCAGGUGCUGUGGUGAGGUCUGGGUGUGGAGGAGGCCAAAGAUGGGCUCACUGGCACUCUCUUUUGGGGGAAGACCAGAGACAGAGGGAUAUGCUAGGGACGCAGGAGGAGCAGCUCCAGCGUCCACAGGCUUGACUGAGGUGGUGCAGCCGAGCUCAAGCGGCAGCCCCUUGCGUGCCUGUUCUUUUAUGAUGAGGUAUGUCCCCAUAAACUGGUCGUAAGUAUUUUUUUUGAGUGAUUCCAAAACAUCAUUCCUAUUAAAGCCAAGGUCAGAGAGUGUGUCUAGGAUCUUUGGAUCUAGCAAGGUUUCACUUGGGAUAUUUUCUUUCCAGUUCAUGACCCAUGGAUGUUGCUGAAGGUCUUCAAUGGAGGGCCUCUUCUCUGGGGCAACUGUCAAUAUUUGGUGUAUUAAAUUUUCCAGUUGCCCAGAGACAUGAGCUGGAAUGUCAUAGGUGCCUGUGACGAUCUUCCCCUGGAUCUCUUCCAUGGUGUCUCCUUGGAAGGGGUGGUUGCCGGUAGUGAUGAAGUAGAGCAGCACACCCAGACUCCACACAUCCGUCUUCUUCCCAUCAUAGCCCAAUCCCAGUAUCUGUUCUGGGGCAUUGAAGGUCUUGGUCCCACAUUGCCUUUGCAGUAGAGUUCCUGCUCUAUACUUGGUGGCGAAACCAAAGUCUGCCAGCUUCACGUUUCCCUCUUCGUCUAAGAGGAUAUUUUCGGGCUUCAGGUCUCGAUGGACGAUGUCAAGGUCAUGGCAAUACUUGACGGCUGACAGGAUCUGCCCGAAUAUUUUCUGUGCCUCUUCCUCCUGCAGCCUGCCCUCCUCCGUCACUUUUUGGAACAAGUCUCCUCCCGGGACAUACUCCGUGAUGAAGCAGGUUCGCUCUGGUGUUACCAGCACCUGGAAGAGGCGAAUGAUGUUGGGGUGGUGCAGUUUUUCGAGGGCCACCAUCUCAGAUAUGAUGAACUGGAGGUCCUCCUCAAGGUUUUCUAUCACUUUUACUGCCACUGGGAUGCCUGUGAGGCGAUGGUAGGCCAGUUGCACAGAGCCAAAUGCACCGUGGCCGAUGGGAAAUAGGACCAUAUAUUGGCUGUUCAGGCUCUUCGUGUUGGGGUGGCGGUCCAUGAGACUAGGUGGUCACUGUGCUCCUGUGCAGACAGGUGGUGGCAAAGUCUCAGCUCAACAACUAACCAGAUAGCUAGGAGAGUCCCACAGGUCACCUAAAUCAGCUCCCUGGUCUGUAGGGACAGAGCUGCAGCCCAGCCCACGGCCUUAUAUACAGGACCCUCAUCCCUCACAGUUGCUCCUUGUGAGGUCAGAGUGAGAAAUGGACCAAACACAGCAGGCUAUCUAUAGCCUACAGUGGCUGUCUUCAUGCUGUGCCCCAGGUACCUUUCCCCUUCUCAUCAAAAUGAGACAAACGUGCCAGCAGGCCAGUCUUGUCCCAGUGUGCAUGUACCUGGCGCAGAUACUCAUAGGAAGGGAAGAAGCAUACUACCCCUCCAGGGACCACAUUGCAUAAGUUACAGAGGAUGCGGCCUGUCUCCUCCAUCUGCAGAAGACAGACAAAGAGCUAGCCCGGAACAGGUCCCACAACCACACCCACAGAGGAUAGAGGCCAAGCAGCUCCCCUUCUACAGCAUGGAAUGCACUACCCUCUUAACAGUCAUGCCCAACUGGGGAUUCUGGUGAGUGCUUGACUUUAUGACACAUCCCAUCUCUGGCACCCCAGAAAUGAGCCAGACUUUUGGUAUAAACUUAGAUCUCCCUAAGUCCCAGUGUCAUGAGGGGCACAAUCCAGAACAAAUCAACAUUGAGAUGCCACAGGAGUUGUGGCCAAGAUAUGCAUCCUUCCCAGGAUACAGGCAAGGAGCAAGAGGCCCCGCCCCCCAUUGUUGGCCUUCUUCCAUCCUGCAUUAAUGGGAUGCUGGGAGCUCUUUAGAAAACAUUUAGUAGUCUAAGGAGAGUGUGGGAGCCCACAAAGUUUUCCUAAUGAGAUCUGAGCUUGCUUUACACA